AAAUUUAAAUAUAGUUUUUAUUAAAAUAUUUUAAACUUUCUUUAUAUUUUAUAUAAAUAGAUUUGUUAUAUAAUAGAAGAAAAAUUUAUUUUUUUUUAUAAAAGAUAAAAUAGAAGUUUAAAAAAUGAUUUGGCUAAACUUGUGCCAGCCGCCGCGGUUAUACAAGUAAAUCUUUUUUAAAAAAAUUAAAAUUAAUAAAAAUAUUUAAAUAUUUUAAAAAUUUAUAAAGGUGAAAUUUAUAAUUUUUAUAUUAAUUAGUUUGAUUUUAAAGAAAUUUAAUUUUUAAACUAGGAUUAGAUACCCUAUUAUUUUAAGCUGUAUGUUGGUAGUAAAUAAAAUUUAUGAAAUCAUAAAAUUUUGGCGGUAUUUUAAGCUUAUUAGAGGAAUUUGCUCUGUAAUGGAUAAAACGCCUAGAUCUUACUUAAUUUAGUAAUUAAAGUCAGUUUGUAUACCACUAUAUUUAAUUAUAUUGAGUAGUUAUAUUUAAGAUUUUUUUCAACAAAAAAUAUAUUAAGUCAAGGUGCAAUUAAUAAUUAUGAAUGAAGUGAAUUACAUUAAUUUUAAUGUUAUUAAAAUGUUGAAAAAAAAGUUUUUAGGAUUUAAUAGUAAAAUAUUAAUAUAAUGAAUAUUUGAAUAGAGCUCUAAAAUAUGCACAUAUCGCCCGUCGCUCUCAGGAGUGAGAUAAGUCGUAACAAAGUAAAAAUACUGGAAAGUGUUUUU
rnacentral:ncRNA from 1 species